rnacentral:rRNA from 1 species
UAGGGAAUCUUCGGCAAUGGGGGCAACCCUGACCGAGCAACGCCGCGUGAGUGAAGAAGGUUUUCGGAUCGUAAAGCUCUGUUGUAAGUCAAGAACGAGUGUGAGAGUGGAAAGUUCACACUGUGACGGUAGCUUACCAGAAAGGGACGGCUAACUACGUGCCAGCAGCCGCGGUAAUACGUAGGUCCCGAGCGUUGUCCGGAUUUAUUGGGCGUAAAGCGAGCGCAGGCGGUUUGAUAAGUCUGAAGUUAAAGGCUGUGGCUCAACCAUAGUUCGCUUUGGAAACUGUCAAACUUGAGUGCAGAAGGGGAGAGUGGAAUUCCAUGUGUAGCGGUGAAAUGCGUAGAUAUAUGGAGGAACACCGGUGGCGAAAGCGGCUCUCUGGUCUGUAACUGACGCUGAGGCUCGAAAGCGUGGGGAGCGAACAGGAUUAGAUACCCUGGUAGUCCACGCCGUAAACGAUGAGUGCUAGGUGUUGGAUCCUUUCCGGGAUUCAGUGNCGCAGCUAACGCAUUAAGCACUCCGCCUGGGGAGUACGACCGCAAGGNU